rnacentral:lncRNA from 1 species
CUUCUCUAUGCUUUAAUCCUACCCAGAUCCAACUCUUCCCAAAGAUCAAUCCCUAUCCCCAAAGAAUAGCAUCAUCCUUCCUCCUUUCUCCUCUCUCUGCAACCAACCACCACACCAUCAUCCAUAACCACCCAUACAAUUCGGUUGGCUUGUUAUGGCAUCAAAUCUUAAGUAACCUAGACCACACAUUCUCAUUCUGUUUAAAAUGAAAUACCAGAAGUCCAAAACGAGAGAAAUUCUCAUUAUGUUCCCUCUUUCGUGGGUCCAUAAACCCUUGCCUUACACCCGUUUCGCCGACUGCUAUAUGCCCACAUUUUAAUCUAUAACAUAAUCUUCUACCAUUGUUCAUCCAUCAACCAUAUACAACAUCUAUAUACAAAUUGUCGAAAAUAUUAAGCUCGCCAUUACAAUUACCCAAUCAAAACUCUGCUAUCAACUAAUAACAUGGCUGCUUCACAUCACAACAUCCCAUCUCUGCCGCCCCCAUCAACAUCGUUUAACGGCAGUGCUGGGUUCAUGCCCACGAGCCGCCGCAAGAUGAUGAUGCACAUGACCUUCUUCUGGGACCACAUUGCCAAGGUUCUCUUCUCGAGUUGGCCCGGCCGCAACAACCCCAAUCAUGUACGAUGGUUGUGGGUGGGUAUGGCUAGUGGUGGGUUUGGGUGGUUAUGGAUGAUGGUGCGAUGGUUGGUUGCAGAGAGAUGAUGGUGCAAUGGUUGGUUGCAGAGAGAUGAUGGUACGGUGGUUGAUCUUUGGGGAUAGGGAUUGAUCUUUAGGAAGGAUUGAUUUUGGGGAGAGCUAGAUCUGGGUAGGAUUUUAUUUUAUUUUUAAAGCAUAGAGAAGGAAAUUUUUUAUUUAUUAAUUUUUCCAUUUUAUUUAUAUAUUUUUU